rnacentral:lncRNA from 1 species
CGAGGCGUCUCGCAGGGUCGGAGUCGACUCCCGGCUUUCCGGAGUCGACUCUCUCAGAGACGGCAGAAAGGCCGAUUUCAGGGGAUGCGCGCGAGUCGUCUCCGAAGGACGCGGAGUCGACUCUCUCAGGGAUUCCAGAGGACUUGUUUUUUCGUUGAGAAAAUGUCGGAGUCGUCCCCGACGUCGCGGAGUCGUCCCCACGCAUAAAGCACAAACAUUCCGAGACGUCCCCAGAAAGCGCCGAGCCGACUCUCUCAGAAAAACAUAAAAACAAGAAAUCGAGCUGUUCUUCUUCGAGUCGUCCCCAGAAAGCGCCGAGUCGACUCCAACAUCGU